AAACAUAAGUAACUUAUGAACAACCUUACUCGCCAGAGUACUACAAGCAACAGCUUAAAACUCAAAGGACUUGGCGGUGCUUUAUAUCCCUCUAGAGGAGCCUGUUCUAUAAUCGAUAAACCCCGAUAAACCUCACCAUCCCUUGCUAAUUCAACCUAUAUACCGCCAUCCUCAGCGAACCCUACUAAGGAAACAAAGUAAGCACAAACAUUCCACAUAAAAACGUUAGGUCAAGGUGUAGUCUAUGAGAUGGGAAGAAAUGGGCUACAUUUUCUAACACCAGAAUAAUUCUUCACGGCAACCUUCAUGAAAUAAAAGGCCAAAGGAGGAUUUAGUAGUAAGUUAAGAAUAGAGAGCUUAACUGAAUAGGGCCAUAAAGC
rnacentral:rRNA from 1 species